GUCGAACGGCAGCACGGAGCUUGCUCUGGUGGCGAGUGGCGAACGGGUGAGUAAUAUAUCGGAACGUACCCUAGAGUGGGGGAUAACGUAGCGAAAGUUACGCUAAUACCGCAUACGAUCUAAGGAUGAAAGUGGGGGAUCGCAAGACCUCAUGCUCGUGGAGCGGCCGAUAUCUGAUUAGCUAGUUGGUAGGGUAAAAGCCUACCAAGGCAUCGAUCAGUAGCUGGUCUGAGAGGACGACCAGCCACACUGGAACUGAGACACGGUCCAGACUCCUACGGGAGGCAGCAGUGGGGAAUUUUGGACAAUGGGCGAAAGCCUGAUCCAGCAAUGCCGCGUGAGUGAAGAAGGCCUUCGGGUUGUAAAGCUCUUUUGUCAGGGAAGAAACGGUGGGAGCUAAUAUCUCUUGCUAAUGACGGUACCUGAAGAAUAAGCACCGGCUAACUACGUGCCAGCAGCCGCGGUAAU
rnacentral:rRNA from 1 species